ACUCCUGCGGGAGGCAGCAGUGGGGAAUAUUGGACAAUGGGCGCAAGCCUGAUCCAGCCAUGCCGCGUGAGUGAUGAAGGCCCUAGGGUUGUAAAGCUCUUUCACCGGUGAAGAUAAUGACGGUAACCGGAGAAGAAGCCCCGGCUAACUUCGUGCCAGCAGCCGCGGUAAUACGAAGGGGGCUAGCGUUGUUCGGAUUUACUGGGCGUAAAGCGCACGUAGGCGGACUAUUAAGUCAGGGGUGAAAUCCCGGGGCUCAACCCCGGAACUGCCUUUGAUACUGGUAUUCUUGAGUUCGAGAGAGGUGAGUGGAAUUCCGAGUGUAGAGGUGAAAUUCGUAGAUAUUCGGAGGAACACCAGUGGCGAAGGCGGCUCACUGGCUCGAUACUGACGCUGAGGUGCGAAAGCGUGGGGAGGAAACAGGAUUAGAAACCCCAGUAGUGCC
rnacentral:rRNA from 1 species